AGAAUCAACGCUGGCGGCGUGCCUAACACAUGCAAGUCGCACGAGAAAGGGACUUCGGUCCUGAGUAAAGUGGCGCGCGGGUGAGUAACACGUGAAUCAUCUACCUCCGAAUGGGGAAUAACUGAGAGAAAUCUUAGCUAAUACCGCAUAAUACCUACGGGUCAAAGCAGCAAUGCGUUUGGAGAGGAGUUCGCGGUCGAUUAGUUAGUUGGCGGGGUAAUGGCCCACCAAGACGAUGAUCGAUA
rnacentral:rRNA from 1 species